UAAUCGCGCAUCAGCCAUGGCGCGGUGAAUACGUUCCCGGGCCUUGUACACACCGCCCGUCAAGCCAUGAAAGCCGGGGGUGCCUGAAGUCCGUGACCGCGAGGGUCGGCCUAGGGUAAAACUGGUGAUUGGGGCUAAGUCGUAACAAGGUACC
rnacentral:rRNA from 1 species